rnacentral:rRNA from 1 species
AUUGAACGCUGGCGGCACGCCUAACACAUGCAAGUCGAACGAGUGGCGGACGGGUGAGUAAUGUCUGGGAAACUGCCUGAUGGCGGGGGCUAACUCCUGGAAACGGUAGCUCAUACCGCAUACCAACGGAUGUGCCCUGAUGGGCAGAGCUAGUAGGUGGGGUAAAGGCUCACCAAGGCGACGAUCCCUAGCUGGUCUGCGAGGAUGACCAGCCACACGGGAACUGAGACACGGUCCAGACUCCGACGGUAGGCAGCAGUGGGGAAUAUUGCGCGUGGGGCGCAAGCCUGAUGCAGCCAUGCCGCGUGUAUGAAGAAGGCCUUCGGGUUGUAAAGUACUUUCAGCGGGGAGGCGUUACCCGCAGAAGAAGCACCGGCUAACUCCGUGCCAGCAGCCGCGGUAAUUC